GACUUCGUGGUGAAGUGGUCAGCACUCUGGGCGCGUAUUCCAGAGGUCCGUGGUUCGAAUCCCGGUGAGGGCU
rnacentral:tRNA from 1 species